rnacentral:misc_RNA from 1 species
GCUCCGCCCAACGUGUAGCUUAACGACUGAACUCGUUGGCUACACAAGCCAGCUGAUCACUUGAUAGUGUUAGCCUUUGUCAACUGAAGUAUCGUAGCGCCAACUGAUAGCUGAUAGAGCAGAUAGAUAGAGCGCGGCGCGGGGCCUCGUUUGAGUCGAGUCGUCGCGAGCAGAGCCGUUUGUUUCUACUGUCGUACUACGACAGUACCAAAGGCGAACGGCAUUAGUACAGCUGUUAAG